rnacentral:lncRNA from 1 species
UAUUGAUUGGCGUCAACGCGGUUGUUUCGGAUAAGUUAGUAGUUAGUGUCUUUAAUGACGAGGACUUAAAUUGAAAUAAAUAGUAAUAGAGUAGUAAUAUAAAAUUGAGCACCUAUGCUUUUAAAAGCACUAAGUCGUUGGUGCUGGUAGGUUUUCGGUCCUUGGAUUAAGAGAUAUGCGGUUAUGAUGAUAGUGAUUCUCUAAGGUUGAAUGGGUGGUUGAUUGAAUAGUAUGAUCUAAUAGGUGGAAAUUGUAGAAGGAGUAGAUGUGACGACGGAAAACUUACAAGCACCAAGUAUUUGAUGCUUUUAUAAGUACCAUAGUCAGACUCAUAUAGAAUUAUUAUUUAUAAUCUAUAAACCUAUAUUAAGUCCAAUACUUUUUGCCACGUGGCAUGUUAUCUUUCAUUCUUAUAACCCAACUUAAAAUCAAACCACCUUCUUUUUUCUCAACGCCCAACCCUUCACCUCCCCACUCUUCUAAUUAUAUAUAAGGUGUAACAUUUAAUUACAUGCACCAUAUUAAUAUUCUAUCAAUGAAUGGACUUUAUAACUUUAAUUCACUCCCUUCUCAAUUAAUGUUCCAUCCCCUCUCUUUUGUAACUUUUUUGUAUGCACCAUAAAAAAUUUUUGCCACGUGACAUGUUACCCUUCAUUCUCAUAACCCAACUUUAAAUCAAACCACCUUCUCCUCUUCUCAACGUCUAACCGUUCACUUCCCCACUCCUCUAAUUACAUGCAAGGUGCAACAUUUAAUUAUAUACACCAUAUUAAUAUUUUAUCAAUGAGUGGGUUCUAGCUAUAAUUUUAUUUUUUUAACAGUUGAAUUUAGUCAUACAAAUUGGUUGUCCUUAACAUGAUAUAGCUUCUAUAU